rnacentral:rRNA from 1 species
UACGGGGGGGGCAAGCGUUGUUCGGAAUUACUGGGCGUAAAGGGCUCGUAGGCGGCCAACUAAGUCGGACGUGAAAUCCCUCGGCUUAACCGGGGAACUGCGUCUGAUACUGGAUGGCUUGAGUUUGGGAGAGGGACGCGGAAUUCCAGGUGUAGCGGUGAAAUGCGUAGAUAUCUGGAGGAACACCGGUGGCGAAGGCGGCGUCCUGGACCAACACUGACACUGAAAAGCGAAAGCCAGGGGAGCAAACGGG